UUUAAAUUUCCACACAGGGAGGAGAUUCGCUUUCAUGUUCUCUUUUCGGCGGACGACGGCAACUUCCACUAGAAUGAAGACGACGGAUUCAAAAGAAUGCUCUUGCCUCUCGGAGAAAUCCAGGACUCUCUCAUAUAGUUGGCAAUCUGAAUUGUAAUUGCAUGUCUCUUAUCUGAUUGAAAAGAAUAUCCCUUCGAUCAGACACCUCCGAUCUCUCCUCCUUCAACUCUGAUUCACCAGCUCCGGUCUCUUGGAUUUCUCACCUCGGUCUCAAUACUCGGGAAUGAAGAGCCGCCUACAAAUCCGCAUCAGAUCUUCCCAAAUCCUUGUCUGAAUGAUUGGAUGCCCCUUCUUCAUUUCGUCGUCGGAGCUCGUGCAAAUGAAGUUAAGUGGUUAUCACCAGCGACCAGUUCUGGCAUCAUCAACGGUGGUAAGUUAGCCAUAUUUGGUUUUUUCCCAUGCUUGUUCCGCUGUUUUGUUUUUGUUGUUGAUACAGGGUCUGAUCUGGAGAUUUUCACAUCAACUUUUCAUCCGACGGAAUAGCGUCGUCAACCAAAACCCCAUCGAGGAGUCAUUCUCCUAGCCCAGACCUGCUCCUGCAAAAUACCCACUAAUUGGGGCUGACGAUCGUCAUGAUUGUACUAGACGGCUAGGGUGAGGCGAAUCUGGAUCCCUGCAUAUGCAUUCACGUUGUUGAGACUCCAACCAUGGAUUCCUUCAAGCAGCGUUUGCGAUUUCAUUACAUGUUAUUGUAUGCUGAAGGGUUUAUUCUGAUUGGCCCCUCCGGUAUCCGCGAUGUUACCGUUUUUACAGGGCAGCGUUUUGCAACGUUUCUAGCACCGGGCUAUGCUCGUGCUGGCCGGCCGUUUGGCUCUGAGUUCAUCCCCAUCUAGCCUUGCAGGUGGACGGUUCGGUCGUCAUGACUUUUCGUAACCGCUCCCCCUUCGUAUUCCACCAUUGAUAGUGAUAGUAUUUGAUCCUUCCGCCUUCCAUUAUUGAAGCUGUUGAAUUCUGCUUCUCAUUUAAAUUCACAUGGACUGGUUGAUGCGUGUCUUUUGUUGCUUACACGCCUCACUAAACUAAUCUCUUAUCAAUUUAUGAUGAUUACCAUACUUGCUGUCCAAUUCAAAUGUUAAGAGCCAUCACAAUGGAAGGUAGUUUAACUCGAUAAUCAUGUGUCUUUCUAUCCAGGCGCCAAGCAAAGUUCUAGCUUCGCCAAAAUAUUUAAUGCACAAUUCCAUAGAAGUUAAA
rnacentral:lncRNA from 1 species